rnacentral:rRNA from 1 species
AUUGAACGCUGGCGGCAGGCCUAACACAUGCAAGUCGAGCGGGGUUUUCGGACCUAGCGGCGGACGGGUGAGUAAUGCGUAGGAAGCUGCCCGAUAGAGGGGGAUACCAGUUGGAAACGACUGUUAAUACCGCAUAAUGUCUACGGACCAAAGUGUGGGACCUUCGGGCCACAUGCUAUCGGAUGCGCCUACGUGGGAUUAGCUAGUUGGUGAGGUAAUGGCUCACCAAGGCGACGAUCUCUAGCUGGUUUGAGAGGAUGAUCAGCCACACUGGAACUGAGACUCGGUCCAGACUCCUACGGGAGGCAGCAGUGGGGAAUAUUGGACGCUGGGCGCAAGCCUGAUCCAGCCAUGCCGCGUGUGUGAAGAAGGCCUUCGGGUUGUAAAGCACUUUCAGCGAGGAGGAAGGGUGGUGUGUUAAUAGCACAUCAUUUUGACGUUACUCGCAGAAGAAGCACCGGCUAACUCUGUGCCAGCAGCCGCAGUAACAC